ACGGGAAUCUGCCCGCCAUUUGCUACCUUGCUUCUAGAAGCUCACGUGACUUGAUACAUCACGUGUACGCUCUCAAUUCAACUAUCUACCUUAGUCCAACAACUCGCACGCAUGCGAAACAUCUGUCCUUUAAGUUUGUUGUGAGAAUUUUAUCUAGCCGAGAUCUCCAACGCGAAAUGGAUGAGGGGAUUAAUAAAGAUGGGUUAUCUACAAUCUACAACGAAUCAUUCCGUGGAAUUUUUGUUGAUAAUAAAGUCUUGUAAAUAUCUUUCCAUUCAUAGUCCUUAAAUAAUCAUCGUCUCAGGCAAUACUUAAAAAGAUUCAUCACUGAAUUUAUGAUCUGACAGGAGUUUUCCAGUCGACCCCGACUCUGACCGCCAAUGUUAUUAAAUCUCGCGAGUAAAACUUUAUCUCCUUGGAAGUGUUUAUUUUACUUCAUACGCCGGCCACAGAUGUUAUUUUAGGUGAGGUAUCAACAAGUGUAAUGCGUGUUUAGUACCG